UACGAAGGGUGCAAGCGUUACUCGGAAUUACUGGGCGUAAAGCGUGCGUAGGCGGUUUGUUAAGUCUGAUGUGAAAUCCCCGGGCUCAACCUGGGACGUGCAUUGGAAACUGGCAAUCUAGAGUACGGUAGAGGGUGGUGGAAUUCCCGGUGUAGCAGUGAAAUGCGUAGAGAUCGGGAGGAACACUCGUGGCGAAGGCGGCCACCUGGACCAGUACUGACGCUGAGGCACGAAAGCGUGGGGAGCAAACAGG
rnacentral:rRNA from 1 species